GGUGGUUCUUGGGUGAUACACCCUGGAAUCAUAUUCCUUCCUCUCUGGUUCCGGGUGCAUCAUCCAAGAACUACA
rfam:Myotis davidii contig65263, whole genome shotgun sequence.